rnacentral:rRNA from 1 species
AGUGGCGAACGGGUGAGUAACACGUGGGCAACCUGCCCAAAAGAGGGGGAUAACACUUGGAAACAGGUGCUAAUACCGCAUAACCAUAGUUACCGCAUGGUAACUAUGUAAAAGGUGGCUAUGCUACCGCUUUUGGAUGGGCCCGCGGCGCAUUAGCUAGUUGGUGGGGUAAAGGCUUACCAAGGCAAUGACGCGUAGCCGAACUGAGAGGUUGAUCGGCCACAUUGGGACUGAGACACGGCCCAAACUCCUACGGAAGGCAGCAG